AUCCUUUGGCUCAUGAGUUGAUGAUUGGGUGUUCACUCUAUUGUGUGAGAUGUACCUCCCUCUAAAUCUUGUUACCACUUUUGCACAUUACCUGUCUGAUG